rnacentral:lncRNA from 1 species
CAAUACUCAAGGUGACUACUAAACACUCAAAAGAAAUAACUCUCUUUUGAUUCCACCUUACUAAAAUAUCUAGUAAGGAAUUUUACACCAUAGUCACAGUAUAAUACUUAAGGUGAUUACUAAACACUCAAAAGAAAUAACCCUCUUUUGACUCUACCUUACUAAAAUAUCUAGUAAGAAAUUUUACACCGUAGUCAGAGUAUAAUACUCAAGGUGACUACUAAAUACUCAAAAGAAAUAACCCUCUUUUGACUCCACCUUACUAAAAUAUUGUUCACCCUAUUUUCUCCUUCACAGACUAUUUUUUAUCACAGUUUGUGAAAUACACUGCUCUCUAUUUCUUUACAUUUUAGUGUCUUGGUAUGGUGUUGGUAUUGGUGUGUAUUAAAAUAAGCUGAAAGGCUUUAUUUAUAUGCAAAGGUUUGCUGGCUCAUGAUGUCAUUAGUGACAUCCUUGCAAUUGUAACAUCAACAAUUGCAGCUUGCUUUCUACCAAGUUUGAAAACAUCUUGCCAAACUUUAGAAAAGAAAAUUAGCCAUAGUCUUAGCAGCCAUUAUUGAAUGAAGAAAAGUUUGUAGAUGGGGCUGGACCCAACAAAUCUCCCCCUCCAGACCCAUGCAUCUAAAUGAAGUAUCUUCAUCUUUUUAGAAAUGACUCAUGCCAACAAGUUAUUUGCACAACUUGAACUUGUGUUUUGGCACCACCUUUGUCAGCAUAGUUAUCAGGUUGCCCCCCUGCUCGGCAACCUCAUUAGGUUGCUCCCCCUCAAACCAAGACCACACCACUUGUGACCUCCCAUUAACCGAUAAUCCAUUUUAUCUCGCUAACCAUCUUGUACCGCCACUACCAACUAGUGGGACAUGCUGCUUGACCACCACUUGUCAAGAAGACUUUCGACACAAGACAUUACCUGCAAAUCUCCAGUCUUGUUGUCACACCGAGAACUUCUCAUAAAAUGCAGCCCACUACUCCGUCACACCCAAUCCUGGGCUCUGAUACCACUUAUUAGGAAAGUCGGGUAAAUUUUCCACUACAACAGAACAAUUGGCUUUGAUACCACUUGUUGGAACCACGUGAAACUUCACCGUUGAAUUUUGCUACCUCAUACUUUACUCCAAACAUUUUAUUUUUACCGAGUAUAGUACCACCAACCGCAAGUACCAUUUUUGUGAAUGAGCAGAACUUGUGCUCUGAUACCAGUUGUUGAAAAUAAAUCCCGCCACGAUAUAGGGGUAAUAAAAAAGUUAUCAUUAUGACAACAGUAAUACAGUUAAUCAACAAGAACAAUAAGAGCAAUAAUGACGCCAAGAUUUUUACAUGGAAACUCUUCUAAACAAGGAAAAAACCACGGACCAAGAGAAGCAACUGAUAUUACUAUAGUAAGGAAUUUUUACACCGUAGUCACAGUAUAAUACUUAAGGUGACUACUAAACACUCAAAAGAAAUAACCCUCUUUUGACUCUACCUUACUAACAUAUCUAGUAAGAAAUUUUACACCGUAGUCACAGUAUAAUACUUAAGGUGACUACUAAACACUCAAAAGAAAUAACCCUCUUUUGACUCUACCUUACUAACAUAUCUAGUAAGAAAUUUUACACCGUAGUCAGAGUAUAAUACUCAAGAUGACUACUAAAUACUCAAAAGAAAUAACCCUCUUUUGACUCCACUUUACUAAAAUAUUGCUCACUCUAUUUCCCCUUCACAGACUAUUUUUUAUCACAGUUUGUGAAAUACACUGCUCUCUAUUUCUUUACAUUUUAGUGUCUUGGUAUGGUGUUGGUAUUGGUGUUUAUUAAAAUGAGCUGAAAGACUCUAUUUAUAUGCAAAGGUAUACUGGCUCAUGAUGUCAUUAGUGACAUCCUUGCAAUUGUAAUAUCAACAAUUGCAGCUUGCUUUCUGCCAAGUUUGAAAAACAUCUUGCCAAACAUUUGAAAAGAAAGAUUAGUCAUAGUCUUAGCAACUAUUGUUGAAUGAAACAAAGUUUGCAUAUGGGGCUGAACCCAACAAAUCUCACCCUCCAGACCCAUGCAUCUGAAGGAAGUAUCUUCGUCUUUUUAGAGAGGACUCAUGCCUACAAGUUCUUUGCACAACUUGAACUUGUCUUUUGGCAUCACCUUUGUCAGCAUAAUCAUCAGGUUACCCCCUUGCUCGGCAACCUCAUUAGGUUGCUUCCCCUCAAACCAAGACCACGCCACUUGUGACCUCCUCUUCAGCGAUAAUCCAUUUGAUCUCGCUAACCAUCUUGUACCGCCACUACCAAUCAGUGGGACACGCUGCUUGACCACUAUUUGUCAAGAAGACUUUCAGCACAAGACAUUACCUGCAGAUAUCCGGUUUUGUUGUCACACUGAGAACUUCUCACAAAAUGCAGUCCACUACUCCGUCACACCCAAACCUGGGCUCUGAUACCACUUGUGAGGAAAGUCGAGUAAAUUUUUCCACUACAACAGAACAACUGACUUUGAUACCACUUGUUGGAACCGCGUGAAACUUCACCGUUGAAUUUUUCUAUCUUGUACUUUACUCCAGACAUUUUAUUUUUACCGAGUAUCGUACCACAAACCGCAAAUAUUAUUUUUGUGAAUGAGUAAAACAUGUGCUCUGAUACCAGUUGUUGGAAAUAAAUCCCGCCACGAUAUAGAAAUAAUAAAAAAAGCAAUCAUUAUGACAACAAUAAUAUGAUUAAUCAACAAGAACAAUAAGAGCGAUAAUGACACCAAGAUUUCUACGUGGAAACCCUUCUAAACAGGGAAAAAUCACAGACCAAGAUAAGCAACUGAUAUUACUAUAGUAAGAAAUUUCUACACCGUAGUCACAAUACAAUACUCAAGGUGACUACUAAACACUCAAAAGAAAUAACUCUCUUUUGACUCCACCUUACUAAAAUAUCUAGUAAGGAAUUUUACACCGUAGUUACAGUAUAAUAUUCAAGAUGACUACUAAACACUCAAAAGAAAUAACCCUCUUUUAACUCCAUUUUACUAAAAUAUUGCUCACUCUAUUUUCUCCUUCACAGAUUAUUUUUUUAUCACAGUCUGUGAAAUACUGCUCUCUAUUUCUUCACAUAUUAGUGUGUUGGUAUGAUGUUGGUAUUGGUGU